rnacentral:snRNA from 1 species
GGAUGUGAGGGUGAUCUGGCUGCGACAUCUGUCACCACAUUGAUCGCCAGGGUUGAUUCGGCCAAUCUGGCUGGCUAGACGGGUGUCCCCUUCCUCCCUCACCGCUCCAUGUGUGUCCCUCCCGAAGCUGGAUGCUCGGUGGAAGAGGACAACCAUCCCAGAUAGAAGGAGUGUACCAUUCUUCGGUCAAGGGUAUACGACUCACAAGAAAAUUUGAAUUAAAAGAUACAAGUCAAAAUAUCAAACAAUUUCAAAUAUUAAAUUGCAUGUGAAUUAAAAGACAGUAUUUUAAACACAGCAAUUAAGAAAAU